CGUCUCUGUACCACAGUACGGUACACUGCUUAUAGCAGCCCCACGUUUGCAGCGCUCCCGUGGAGAUCUCCGGCGAAGUUUUCAGGUGAUGUCAACAACAGGAAGGACGACUUCGAGCCAGGUUUCCAUUUCUCAUCAGCCGCUGCCUCCACACCGCCGGGCUGCGGCUCCCGGACCCGGCUCCGCGCUGCAGCCCCCGCCGCGCUCCGUGCCCGGGACGAGCCCCACCGCCUCCAGCCCGCCCGCUCGCU
rnacentral:lncRNA from 1 species